GGACUACCCGGGUUUCUAAUCCCAUUCGCUCCCCACGCUUUCGUCCUAGCAGUGUCAGGUAGUACCCAGAAGCCUGCCUUCGCUAUUGGUAUUCCGAACGAUAUCAACGCAUUUCACUACUACACCGUUCGUUCUAGCUUCCUCUUUACUCCUCUAGUCAUGAAGUUUCAAAAGACAGUCUCAAAGUUGAGCCUUGAGAUUUCACUUCUGACUUUCAUAACCACCUAUCGGUACGCUUUACGCCCAAUGAUUCCGGAUAACGCUUGAGGUCUCUGUAUUACCGCGGCUGCUGGCAC
rnacentral:rRNA from 1 species